rnacentral:rRNA from 1 species
CAGUAGCCACGGUAAUACGUAGGGUGCGAGCGUUAAUCGGAAUUACUGGGCGUAAAGCGAGCGCAGACGGUUAUUUAAGCAGGAUGUGAAAUCCCCGGGCUUAACCUGGGAACUGCGUUCUGAACUGGAUAGCUAGAGUGUGUCAGAGGGGGGUAGAAUUCCACGUGUAGCAGUGAGAUGCGUAGAGAUGUGGAGGAAUACCGAUGGCGAAGGCAGCCCCCUGGGAUAACACUGACGUUCAUGCUCGAGAGCGUGGGUAGCGAACAGGAUUAGAUACCCCUGUAGUCCCUGUCUCUUAUAC